GGCAGUGUGUCCCGAAUUGGUAAGGGACCUGAUUGGAAAUCAGGUGGCAUUCAUGGCCAUGCAGGUUCGAGCCCUGUCACUGUCG
rnacentral:tRNA from 1 species